rnacentral:rRNA from 1 species
CCUACGGGAGGCAGCAGUGAGGAAUAUUGGUCAAUGGGCGCAAGCCUGAACCAGCCAAGUCGCGUGAGGGAUGACGGUCCUAUGGAUUGUAAACCUCUUUUGUCGGGGAGCAAGGCCCGCCACGUGUGGCGGGAAGGAGAGUACCCGAAGAAAAAGCAUGGGCUAACUCCGGCCCAGCAGCGGCGGUAAGACGGGGAAUGCGAGGUUUAUCCGGUUUUAUUGGGUUAAAAGGGUGCGUAGGGGGUAGGUGAAGUCAGCGGGAAAAUGUGGGGGCCAAACAUCGGCCUGCCGUUGAAACUGGCAGUCUUGAGUGAGCUAGAGGUAGGCGGAAUGCGUGGUGUAGCGGUGAAAUGCAUAGAUAUCACGCAGAACUCCGAUUGCGAAGGCAGCAUACCGGCGCGCAAUUGACGCUGAGGCACGAAAGCGUGGGGAUCGAACAGGAUUAGAUACCCGAGUAGUC